GCGUCGGUAGUGCAAUGGUUAGCAUACGCUCUCGGAAAGAGUGAGAUCUGGGUUCGAGUCCAGGCUGACGCG